GAGCUUCGUCAAUUUAUGAUAGACAACUGAUAACGUAUAGAAAGCCCCCAGCCCCAUAUAAUUAAUUAUGGCAAGUAAUCUCUACUUAAAGUUAUAGAUGAAAACCAAUCGAAGUCGUUUAUAGGGUUAUAAGUCUCAAGUUUUAGUCUUAGUCAAAGCCAUUGGUAAAAGAAAAAAAAAGUCAGAGAUGGAUGAUGUGAAACAGCUUUUAUGAAGAAGACUUACUUAUUUAGGAGUAAUUACAGUUUGGGCAGUUGGACUAGAUUCAAGAAUAGCAUAAAUACUAUGGAGAGCACAAUUUCAAGGGGUGCAAGUUAGCUAUUUUCGAUUGAAAAAGUAAGAGGUAAUGGAGAGUGAGUUAGAGAGUAUGAGACAAUAUUUUAAGAGUGGAAACACUAAAGAUGCUUCUUGGAGGCUGUCUCAGCUUAAAGGGUUGCUCUUGUUUAUCAAGGAAAAUGAAGCAGAAAUUUUUAAGGCUCUAAAGGAAGAUUUAGGGAAGCCUCCUGUUGAGGCUUUUAGAGAUGAGGUGGGAACUUUAAUAAAAUCCAUAAAUUUUGCUUUGAAGGGUUUGAAAAAUUGGAUGUCAAGCGAAAAGGUCAAGCUCCCAAAAAUUGCAGUAUCCUCAUAUGCAGAGUUGGUUCCUCAGCCUCUUGGGCUUGUGCUCAUCAUAUCUACCUGGAAUUUUCCUUUUGGACUGUCAUUGGAACCACUUAUAGGAGCAAUAGCUGCAGGGAACACAAUGGUUUUAAAACCUUCAGAACUGGCUCCUGCUUGUUCUUCUCUUCUAGCAAAUGUUAUGCCCACUUACCUAGACACUCAAGCUAUUAAGGUCAUCCAAGGAGGACCGUCUGUUGGUGAACAACUUCUGCAGCAGAAAUGGGACAAAAUUUUCUUCACAGGUAGUGCCCGUGUGGGCCGGAUAGUUAUGUCUGCUGCUGUUAAGCAUCUAACACCAGUCGUUCUGGAGUUGGGUGGGAAAUGCCCUGCUGUUGUUGAUUCCCUUUCAUCUUCUUGGGACCAACAGGUGGCUGCAAAUCGAAUUGUUGUCUCGAAAUUUGGGAACUGUACUGGUCAAGCAUGCAUAGCAAUUGACUAUAUUCUGGUGGAAAAGAAAUUUGCUUCCACUUUGGUGGAACUAAUGAAGGAUUCCAUCAAAAAUAUGUUUGGGGAUAACCCUAGAGAUUCAAAUACCAUGGGAAGGAUUGUUAACAAACAUCAUUUCUUGAGAUUGAAGAACCUUCUAAGCGAUUUGGCAGUAAAAAAAUCUGUUGUCCAUGGUGGUUCAAUGGAUGAAAACAAUCUGUAAAUGACCACACUGCUCUCUCUUAAACUAAAUGUUAUGGAUUGUUCUUUCUUUCUCUUUUUCCUUUUUUUGGGUUCAUUUGGUCUUAAGCGAAACUCGAACUCGGCACUUCACGACUUCAGUACCACUAGCUAAACUCAUUUUUCUUUCCCCUAUAUAAUUUUCCAAUUAAUACAUCUUUGGUUUGCUUAAUUAAGGGAUAAUUAACAUUCUUUCAGGUUUAUCGAGCCAACAAUCUUGCUAGAUCCUCCCCUCCAGGCAGAAAUAAUGACAGACGAGAUCUUUGGUCCACUGCUUCCUAUAAUUACAGUAAGAUGCAACUAAUCACAAAGAGUUCCAUCUUUAUAUUUAUGUUCUUUAAAGAAUGCAAGUUCCAGGUUACAAUGAUAUCAUCUUUGCGUUUUAACAGUUAGAGAAGGUUGAAGACAGCAUAGACUUUAUAAAUUCAAAGCCUAAAGCUCUUGCCAUUUAUGCCUUCACCAAAAAUGAACCAUUCAGGAGAAGAAUGGUGGCAGAAACAUCAUCUGGAAGCUUGGUAUUCAACGAUGCAGUGAUUCAAGUAUUUCAUCGAAAACUUAUUAACUGUUCCUUUUGUUUUGCGAACUCAUUUACUGAUUUACUCCCAUCAUCCAACUGAUAUGCAUGAUUGAAACUUAACCACAUUUGCUUUGCAGUAUUUAGUUGAUGCCUUGCCAUUUGGAGGGAUUGGUGAAAGUGGGAUUGGCAAGUACCAUGGGAAAUUCUCAUUCGAUACGUUUACACACCACAAGGCAGUUGCAAGAAGAAGCUUCCUGGUUGAUUUCUGGUUCAGAUUUCCUCCAUGGAAUGUUCAUAAGUUGAUGCUUUUUGAAACAGCUUACAAUCUUGAUUAUCUUGGACUUCUACUAGUCAUUCUUGGCUUGAAGAAGCGUCAAAGGAACUCGCAAGGCAUCUAGCUAUUUUCUUGUGUCUCUAUUUAGUAAUCCCUCACUCUUAGACACCUGCUGCUUGUGUAAUAACAAAUGGAAAGGAUAGCUCCAUGGCCAGAUCUUUAAUUUCAGCUGCUACAUAUAAUUUCUGAACUAUAUAUAAAUAAAUUCUUCAAUAGAUAAACCAUGUAUAAUUUCUCAACUUAUCGUAUAGUAUCCUGAAUAAAGAAGGGACAAGGUGCAAUUACAGCAGCUUUUGUUAGAUAUAAGUUUAAUCAGCUUUUGUUAGAUGUUGAUAAUAAUAAAUGGCAUUUAAAGCGAUC
rnacentral:misc_RNA from 1 species